UAGGCUGGAAUCCCGCCUCCUGAGCCCUCUCGCAUGCUUCUUCCUCCUGACAUUCCCCUUCCCUCUCUCCUUCUCUACCCUACAGUGUGCCUUCUCGAACCAACUUACAGGUGGCUUUAAAUAGACCAUCCCUUGGUUAUCAAGCAUCUGUGUUCCCACACUGGGAGCAGCUGAAGGAGAUAGAGCUGUGAUGGCUGAUCGGCUUCUGGGCCCCCGUUCUGAAAGCUGCUAUGGCUCUCUCUUGGCCGGAGCCUCACUUCCCAAUGGCUGCUCUAGAUACGUAGAGGCCCUUCGCCAUUUUCAUGCUGUCUGUCUGUCUGUCUAUCCAGGCUCACCUACACAUGCUUUUGCUAUUGUGGAUAUGGAUAUGCCCUGUUCCUUUGACCAUGCCAUUCCCACUGCUGGGAAUCCCUUUCCCGCUUUGUCAGCCUGGCAUACUCCUCCUCAAAUGUCCUUUUUCCAGGGCCCUGACCUUCCUGACCUCCCUUCCAAGGCAGAAUCAACCACACCUUCCCCAGCACUCUCCACAUCACAGCACAGAUCACUCUGUAUUGUAACCACUGAUUGAAUUUAUUUCUUUGAUUAAAAAUCAUGUAGGUGGUCCCAUUUUUCCUUUGGUAAAAUCAGGAUAGCUCCUACAAUCUGCCUCGGGUUAAGCCGGGAGAUUUCUUUUUGUUUGGUUGGUUGGUCGGUUGUUUUUUUGUUUGCUUUUUUGUCUUCCUAAAAUUCUGUCAUUAAACUGAUAAACUGUUUUGUAACCAAUAUCAUCUUAGGAUCCAAGAAACAGAGGACUUCUCUGUCUCUUUCUAGACUGUGAGCUCACCUGGGUUGAGGGCCAUGAUUCAAUGUCUCUGGACCCCCAGCAGCCAGCACAGAGGAGGCACAGAGGAAGCACCAGUACAGUGGAACCUCAAGAUGGAACGAGCCUGGAUUCCUGAAUCAUUGGGUGCAGAAGAGCUAUCCACUGACCAGAAAUGUUAGCCUUGGACUAUAAUGCAUGAAAAGCCUUGAGCAAAACAAAAUGCUGCUGAUUUUGAGUCUAUUUUGGGCGCCUGUCGCUGAUUGUCUGCUUCCGAGGCCUGUGCACAUGCUGCCUUCUCAAAGAAUGAUUUUAACGAAUUGAAAUGGAAUGAAUGAGCAUCUUGCUCCUGCUGCUGCUGCCACCAUUGGAACAGAAAGUAGCCCCCAAAGGUGGGGCCUGGUCCAUGGCUCCUCUAUUCUUCCCUCUCACCCCAGAUGCCCACCCAACCCACACCCCCAUUCACACAGCGCUUGCUGGCGCCCGAGUUAGGCUGCUCACCCUAUGCCAGGAAGCUAUUUACCAAAGGAAAUAACUCUGAUAAAGGGGCUAAAAAUAGGCAGCAGUGAUGGAAAACAUUUUGUUGAGAGAUCUGCUGACAAGAAGGGAAACAGAGCUGUGAAAAAGAUAGGUGGUGAAGGACACAGAGGGAGAAGUGGCUACACUGCGCAUCUAGGGGGCCCAGGAGGAGCCGGGUCAGGGCCCAGAGGCCAGGUGGCUCACACGGAUGGCUGCGCCCUUGUGGCAGAUCUUCCCUGUCAGUGGCCCCACCUUUGUGGUAUUUCACCCAGCCUUAGAAAAGUGAAGGGGUGCGAGCCAACAGGUUCCUUCACCAGGUGGGUAUCUGAGGACAGGUAUCUGAAAAGCAGCGCCAUGAAGGAAGCAAACAGAACACUGAUGGAGGCUGACCACACAUUCGGCUUUUGCCAGUUAGCAACACACCGACAUUGGACAAGCUGCUUAACCUCUCUGAGCCUCAGUUUCCUCAUGUGAUAAAUAAAGAUAUGGUUAGACCCACAUCAUAUGGCUGUGGUGAUAAUCUAUGCACACUAUUUACCAAACAGUGGCAUUAUUCAGGUCAUUCAACCUUUUACAAACAUGGAUUGAGGGCUUUCUUUGUGCAAGGCACUUCCUGGCACCCAGGGAUUCCUUGAUGAAAAAGACAAAUUCCUGCUGUAAGAUACUUUAAUUCCUUAGUGAACACAGUAGAGAAGGGGAAACUGUCCUUAGAAAUAUAUACCCAGCACCUCUCACCCUAAGACAGCCAAAUGGAAGGACCCCAGGACACCUUCCCGGGCCACAGAUGCAUCCAUUCCAUCCAGUGCUGUGUGUCUGCUAUGCACUGUGUACUAAAGAGGGAAUGAUGAGAAAGGCUCAGGGUUCCCUUCUGAAGCACACAGACUGGUAGAGAAGACAGGGACGGAAACAGAUAUAUGUUAUUCACAUGAAAAGGACCAUACAGAGUUGGGUUUAAGAGCUCUCUUUGGGAGCAGCAGAUCUUUGAAAUUUCCAGGCACUGGAAUGUGUAAGUUUUAUAACGAGCUAAAUCAUAUUCAUGUAUUUGCAUAAAUUAAUAAACAGCAAUUAUAUAUUAUAGCAAUUUCUAAGUAAUAUCCCCAAAUAACUAUCUCAAUAUACCAAAAUAGUAACAAUGGUUAUUUCUGGGUGGUGGAAUUAUGGGUGAUUUGUCUUUCUCCCCAAAUUCUCUACAAUUAGUAUGCAUUAUUUUUGUAAUAGAAAAACAAACAAAUAAAACAUUAGUAAGAAGCAAGCUGUUUCAAAAUACCCUGCAGAUGGGAAAUCUGUUCACUUGCCUUGGAUUCGGCUGAGAGCCUCUCUAUGACUUCAAUAACCUUCAAAAGUUUGAAGUAGCUUGAAAACAGGUUUUUGCAUUAGAAUGUGGCAAGGCUGCCCAGUCUCUGGCCAAGUGGGUCUGAUCCCUCACCUGUUUAUUUUGUGGCUGAGGAUCAGAAAGGAGUGUGCUAGCUUGGAAUGGGGAGUGUAGACAGAGGAGGACCCAUUCCACAAAUGGCUGUGUGCAAAGGGCACUUAGGCCUGGAUUUGAGCACUUUCUCCACCAUAUACUAGAUG